GCCGACCGUCCGCAGACCGUCCGCAGACAAAUAAGUACCUCAAUCGGUCUGCGGAACGUCUGCGGACUGUGGGGUGUCGGAGCUCGGCUCGGCACAGCUACGUCACAGCUCGUCUUCAGGUCGUCUACGGAACGUUUGCGGAAGGUCGUCAACCAUUCCGAAAAUUUCGUAGACCCUGUCACCGGGGCCUGCACCAAUGCCGUUGAAGGCUAUUGGUCCCGGUGCAAGGGCUUCUUUCGCCGCCAGGGAGUUAUGUCCAGCCCAUCGGACCUCCUCGCCGGUCACAUCGAUGAAUUUAUGUGGCGGGAGGUGUAUGACCAAGGCGAGGCGGGCGAAACUUUCGCCAACUUCCUGCAACACAUGAGGGGAAUGUUUGCAUGAACCAGCACUACCAACCACUUCCAGCCACCACUACCAGCACUACCAGCC